UCACGUGGUGUUCAUGAUCCAAGUGGUUCC
rnacentral:piRNA from 1 species